CUGGGCUUACUGGCGCACGGGUGCGUAAGGCGUGGGAAUCUGCCCUUGGGUUCGGAAUAACCGUGGGAAACUACUGCUAAUACCGGAUGAUGUCUUCAGACCAAAGAUUUAUCGCCCAAGGAUGAUCCCGCGUAGGAUUAGGUAGUUGGUGGGGUAAAGGCUCACCAAGCCGACGAUCCUUACCUGGUCUGAGAGGAUGAUCAACCUCACUGGGACUGACACACGGCCCAGACUCCUACGGGAGGCAUCAGUGGGGAAUAUUGGACAAUGGGGGCAACCCUGAUCCAGCAAUGCCGCGUGAGUGAUGAAGGCCUUAGGGUUGUAAAGCUCUUUUACCAGGGAUGAUAAUGACAGAACCUGGAGAAUAAGCUCCGGCUAACUCCGUGCCAGCAGCCGCGGUAAUACGGAGGGAGCUAGCGUUGUUCGGAAUUACUGGGCGUAAAGCGCACGUAGGCGGUUACUCAAGUCGUAGGUGAAAGCCCGGGGCUCAACCCCGGAACUGCCUUUGAAACUAGGUAGCUAGAAUCCUGGAGAGGUGAGUGGAAUUCCGAGUGUAUAGGUGAAAUUCGUAGAUAUUCGGAAGAACACCAUUGGCGAAGGCGGAUCACUGGACAGGUAUUGACGCUGAGGUGCGAAAGCGUACGGAGCAAACAGGAUUAGAUACCCUGGUAGUCCACGCCAUACACGAUGAUAACUAGCUGUCCGGGCACAUGGUGUUUGGGUGGCGCAGCUAACGCAUUAAGUGAUCCGCCUGGGGAGUACAGUCGCAAGAUUAAGUCUCACAGGAAUUGACGGAGGAC
rnacentral:rRNA from 1 species